UUGAGCCUGACCCACAAAGAGACACUUUGAGGACAGAGGAAGAGUGUGGAGGGAACACAGUGAACUGUGAAAUCUGAAGAGGCACAAGACACACCAAAGAUGACCUGCCCUGGCAGAUGAGGAUGAAGUUUAACAGCCAGCUGAAUACAGUGGAUCUGUACACCCUCAUCAACACACACACCAACAUCCCCAAGAUCAGGGAGGGACGACUGGCAGCACAGUCCUGGGCAGCACAUGUACCAUGUGAGACUCAGUACAAAGAUGCCGCCAGACAAAUUCUUGAGCAGAUAGUCGUCAUCCACAGAAUGUGUAUGAAAUACCCAGAAGCCUUCAUGUUUGCUUCCAGCAGCAAAGAUAUCGUGGAUGUAGUCAGAACAGGACAGCCAGUCUGAUCGGGGUGGAAGGAUGACACUCUUUGGACAGCAGCCUGGGUACCCUGCGUACCAUGUACCACCCGGGGGUCCGCUACCUCACCCUCACCCACAGCUGCAACACUCCAUGGCGAGUAGGCUACCCUGCUGACGACAGGGCCACCCUGGUCUGGGGACUAGGUGCCACAGAUUAUACUCAGGCAGACAAUUGGCUAGUGGAUUCGGGAGCCAAGCCAUGAGCGCAGCACAAUGGACUGUCUGAGUUUGGAAAGAUCACUUUGACAAAAUGAAAACUGUGGCUGGACACAGUAUCAUUGGUUUUGGUGGGGAUUAUGAUGGAGUGGGCAGGGUCCCGGAGGGUCUGGAGGAUGUGUUUAAGUACCCUGCUCCGGUGGCAGAGCUGCUGAGCAGAGGAUGGACAGAUGCCGAGGUGAAAGCUACUCUAGGGGACAACCUGCUCAGUGUGUUCAGAGAGGUGCCUACGCUGUGUACGAGACAGCCAGACGAUCUUCCCAUCCCUUAUGAGGAAGUGAAAAAUGACUACAGGACCAGCUAUGGCUCCCCUGUCCCAACCCAGACAGUGCUGGGACAGUUCUCUCCCUCAGCUCUCUGGCCCUGGCACUAACACUGACUCUGAGCAGCCUGCUGUCCUGGUCUCUCUCUAUAAGCCCCCUCUAAAUAGACCAUGCUGGGUGUGGUGGUAUUACCACCCCUUGUCUAUGGCAGUAGGCUGCCCAAGGCAUAGUAACACCUUACUACUUGAGUUCUGUGUUCUGUGGUCACAUCUUUCACAAGUUCUAUUGGUGAUGGAGUCCAUGAACUGUGAUUGAAGGAGGUACUUGUACAAAGAAAUCUUAACAUUACUAAACCAGUAAGUUAUUCUGAAACGGUGUUAUACACAUCACUGUUGACCUUAUACCAAGUAAAUCCAUGACCAGGCUACUUUACAUUUUAGAGUUUAAAUUAAAUGGUUAAAUGUAGCCCUCAGUAAAUAAAUAAUCAGGAAAAU